rfam:Streptococcus sinensis strain HKT4 scaffold50, whole genome shotgun sequence.
GAAUGUCUUCAGGGCAGGGUGAGAUUCCCGACCGGCGGUAAAUUUGACUAGCUAUUUUAGCUUUCUCGUCGUUGUCUUGUCUCGAUAUACUUUAAGUAUUAUCUUCGACUGCGACGCCUAGAUAAAUCUAAAAUAUCUUAGCCAAAUAAGUCCGCGAGCGCAAGCUGAUGUGGUGCGAUUCCACAACCGACAGUAUAGUCUGGAUGGGAGAAGACGAAA